GGCGCCAAGGAACAAGCAACGGGGCAGACAUCCUAUCGGAAAACAGCACAGACAACCAGACUAGAUAGUGGAUGAUGUAUGACAGGAAUUGUCAUGUGGUUUGGCCGACAUGUCACCAUUCUACAUCACUUAGGUCAUCGCUCUGUGGACUACACCCACACCCGCUCGUGGCGGUCAGGUCAACACUGCUCUCUCUUUCUCUCUCUUACAACCGCUUUUUUUUUUUUUUGGUAUCAUUCUUCUCGAUCAUUAUCCGAUCUGGGAAAUAAAUCACGCCAUAAUGAUAAUUUAAUAGUUACUUCUUUCUGUUUACUAUAAAACAGGUGGCGUUGAUAAUUUAUUUACGUUUUUAUACUACACGUGGUUGUCAUGUGGUCGGCGUUGAAAUAUUCGAAUAUUUAUUUAAAAAAUGUUGCAAGUUUGAAAAAUUUAUUCUGUAAAGAUUAUGAAAGAUGGAAACAAGCAGCUGCUCUUUCACGAACCUUUUUUCUUUUGAAGAAACAUGCAUACAAAAUAACUUCCAAAUAAUGGUCACAUCCAAACAACAGCCAUUACUUAAGUUCUCAUCAGAGGUUUGAUCUUAUAUAUUUUUACUUUAAUAAUAAUUCUAUUAGGAAAAUAUGAUAAG